rnacentral:rRNA from 1 species
ACGCUCGACACCUACGGGAGGCAGCAGUGGGGAAUAUUGCACAAUGGGGGAAACCCUGAUGCAGCGAUGCCGCGUGAAGGAAGAAGUAUCUCGGUAUGUAAACUUCUAUCAGCAGGGAAGAAAAUGACGGUACCUGACUAAGAAGCCCCGGCUAACUACGUGCCACAGCCGCGGUAAUNUGAGCGGGCUGGCAAGGC